rnacentral:sRNA from 1 species
GUUGGGCAUGGUGGCGCAUGCCUUUAAUCCCAGCUACUUGGGAGGCUGAGGUAGGAGAACUGCUUGAACCAGGGAGUUGGAGGUUGCAGUGAGCCAAUAUCGUGCCACUGCACUCCAGCCUGGCAACAGAGUGAGACUCCGUCUCAAAAAAAAAAAAAAAAAAUACAGACAGCAUCUUACUCUGUUGCCCAGGCUGGAGUGCAGUGGCACGAUCAUAGCUCACUGAAACCUUCACUUCCUGGGCUUAAGCGAUCCUCCCGCCU